GCAAGUCGAGCGGCAGCGACAACAUUGAACCUUCGGGGGAUUUGUUGGGCGGCGAGCGGCGGACGGGUGAGUAAUGCCUGGGAAAUUGCCCUGAUGUGGGGGAUAACCAUUGGAAACGAUGGCUAAUACCGCAUGAUAGCUUCGGCUCAAAGAGGGGGACCUUCGGGCCUCUCGCGUCAGGAUAUGCCCAGGUGGGAUUAGCUAGUUGGUGAGGUAAGGGCUCACCAAGGCGACGAUCCCUAGCUGGUCUGAGAGGAUGAUCAGCCACACUGGAACUGAGACACGGUCCAGACUCCUACGGGAGGCAGCAGUGGGGAAUAUUGCACAAUGGGCGCAAGCCUGAUGCAGCCAUGCCGCGUGUAUGAAGAAGGCCUUCGGGUUGUAAAGUACUUUCAGCAGUGAGGAAGGAGGUAUCGUUAAUAGCGGUAUCUUUUGACGUUAGCUGCAGAAGAAGCACCGGCUAACUCCGUGCCAGCAGCCGCGGUAAUACGGAGGGUGCGAGCGUUAAUCGGAAUUACUGGGCGUAAAGCGCAUGCAGGUGGUUUGUUAAGUCAGAUGUGAAAGCCCGGGGCUCAACCUCGGAAUUGCAUUUGAAACUGGCAGGCUAGAGUACUGUAGAGGGGGGUAGAAUUUCAGGUGUAGCGGUGAAAUGCGUAGAGAUCUGAAGGAAUACCGGUGGCGAAGGCGGCCCCCUGGACAGAUACUGACACU
rnacentral:rRNA from 1 species